rnacentral:rRNA from 1 species
CCUACGGGCGGCAGCAGUGGGGAAUAUUGGACAAUGGGGGCAACCCUGAUCCAGCCAUGCCGCGUGUGUGAAGAAGGCCCUCGGGUUGUAAAGCACUUUCAGUGAGGAAGAACGCCUGGUGGUUAAUACCCAUCAGGAAAGACAUCACUCACAGAAGAAGCACCGGCUAACUCCGUGCCAGCAGCCGCGGUAAUACGGAGGGUGCGAGCGUUAAUCGGAAUUACUGGGCGUAAAGCGCGCGUAGGUGGCUUGAUAAGCCGGUUGUGAAAGCCCCGGGCUCAACCUGGGAACGGCAUCCGGAACUGGCAAGCUAGAGUGCAGGAGAGGAAGGUAGAAUUCCCGGUGUAGCGGUGAACUGCGUAGAGAUCGGGAGGAAUACCAGUGGCGAAGGCGGCCUUCUGGACUGACACUGACACUGAGGUGCGAAAGCGUGGGUAGCAAACAGGAUUAGAUAACCUAGUAGUC